rnacentral:rRNA from 1 species
AGUGAACGCUGGCGGUAGGCCUAACACAUGCGAGUCGAACGGCAGCACAGUAAGAGCUUGCUCUUACGGGUGGCGAGUGGCGGACGGGUGAGGAAUACAUCGGAAUCUACUUUUUCGUGGGGGAUAACGUAGGGAAACUUACGCUAAUACCGCAUACGACCUACGGGUGAAAGCAGGGGAUCUUCGGACCUUGCGCGAUUGAAUGAGCCGAUGUCGGGUUAGCUAGUUGGCGGGGUAAAGGCCCACCAAGGCGACGAUCCGUAGCUGGUCUGAGAGGAUGAUCAGCCACACUGGAACUGAGACACGGUCCAGACUCCUACGGGAGGCAGCAGUGGGGAAUAUUGGACAAUGGGCGCAAGCCUGAUCCAGCCAUACCGCGUGGGUGAAGAAGGCCUUCGGGUUGUAAAGCCCUUUUGUUGGGAAAGAAAAGCAGCAGGUUAAUACCCCGCUGUUCUGACGGUACCCAAAGAAUAAGCACCGGCUAACUUCGUG